CCUACGGGAGGCAGCAGUGAGGAAUAUUGGUCAAUGGCCGGAAGGCUGAACCAGCCAUGCCGCGUGAAGGUCAGUGCCCUAUGGGCGUUAAACUUCUUUUGUGCGGGAGCAAUAAUGGUCACGUGUGGCCAGACGAGAGUACCGUACGAAUAAGCAUCGGCUAACUCCGUGCCAGCAGCCGCGGUAAUACGGGGGAUGCAAGCGUUAUCCGGAUUUAUUGGGUUGAAAGGGUGCGUAGGCUGGGUGGUAAGUCAGCGGUGAAAUGCCCCCGCUCAAAGGGGUGAAGUGCCAUUGAUACUGCCUGGCUGGAAUGCGGAUGCCGUGGGAGGAAUGUUUGGUGUAGCGGUGAAAUGCAUAGAGAUCACACAGAACACCGAUUGCGAAGGCAUCUCACGAAUCCGCGAUUGACGCUGAUGCACGAAAGCGUGGGUAUCAAACAGGAUUAGAUACCCCGGUAGUC
rnacentral:rRNA from 1 species